rnacentral:rRNA from 1 species
UACGGGGGGAGCAAGCGUUGUUCGGAUUUACUGGGCGUAAAGGGCGCGUAGGCGGUCAGCACAAGUCAGUUGUGAAAUCUCCGGGCUUAACUCGGAAAGGUCAACUGAUACUGUGCGACUAGAGUGCAGAAGGGGCAACUGGAAUUCUCGGUGUAGCGGUGAAAUGCGUAGAUAUCGAGAGGAACACCUGCGGCGAAGGCGGGUUGCUGGGCUGACACUGACGCUGAUGCGCGGAAAGCCAGGGGAGCGAACGGG